GGGGGGAAUUUUGGACAAUGGGCGAAAGCCUGAUCCAGCCAUGCCGCGUGCAGGAUGAAGGCCUUCGGGUUGUAAACUGCUUUUGUACGGAACGAAAAGACUCUGGUUAAUACCUGGGGUCCAUGACGGUACCGUAAGAAUAAGCACCGGCUAACUACGUGCCAGCAGCCGCGGUAAUACGUAGGGUGCAAGCGUUAAUCGGAAUUACUGGGCGUAAAGCGUGCGCAGGCGGUUAUAUAAGACAGAUGUGAAAUCCCCGGGCUCAACCUGGGAACUGCAUUUGUGACUGUAUAGCUAGAGUACGGCAGAGGGGGAUGGAAUUCCGCGUGUAGCAGUGAAAUGCGUAGAUAUGCGGAGGAACACCGAUGGCGAAGGCAAUCCCCUGGGCCUGUACUGACGCUCAUGCACGAAAGCGUGGGGAGCAAACAGGAUUAGAUACCCCGGUAGUCC
rnacentral:rRNA from 1 species